UCCACUGAAGAGGAAACCUGCAAAAAGAGC
rnacentral:piRNA from 1 species